rnacentral:tRNA from 1 species
ACCCUUAUGGGGCCCAACGGUCAAGCCUAACGGGCUCUGGACCCGUUGACCCCGGUUCGAAUCCGGGCGGGGCUA